UUCAUUAAUAGUUAUGCUUAAAUAACAUAGAGGGUAGUUUAGUAAAAUCCUUAGGAAAUACCAAAAGCUAAUUACGAAAAUAACUCUCCCUCUUGACUUAUAUAUAGAGAUAGAUAAACAUAAAUCAUUUUAAUUUGUUCAUCAAUUCGUAGCAAUGGCAACAAACCGCACCAUUUUGUUUGUUUUCAUCGUUUGUUCUCUUCUGAUCAUGGCAAAUUGUGACAACGUCGAAAGGCAGGGAAGAUCAAAGAUGAUGGAGCAAAGAAAACAUCUGUCCAAGAAAAUAACACUCCUAACUUGCCAGAAGGUUGAAUGUGGAAGUUUAUUUUCUCGAGAGCCAUGUUAUUGUUGUUUAGAUAACCAGUGUUUUGAUACUAAAGAUCGGUGCCUCAAAGUAUGUCCUAAUCAUCUCCAUUAAAUUAUAUAUCGAUUUGGACUAAAUAUCGAUUCAGGAUUUACGUACGUACUACUACGUUUAUGUUUAAUUGUAAUAUAUAACUAGUGUAUGUUCCGGACGUUGCUCCGAAUUUUACUUUUAGUGGGGUUUACUUUUUGUAAAAAUGUGCCCAUUUUUAAAAGAUUGUAUUUUACUUUUAUAUGAGAAGAUAUAACAUACAUUGUAGCUAGCUAA